rnacentral:lncRNA from 1 species
GUUCCGUCCCCUCCUCGCCCCGGCCUGUAACUGCUGCGGGGGCCGCUUUCUGGGCCCGCCCCUCCAGGCCAGGAGCCUUUUUCAAAAUGUGGCGGUGGCAGGGAAGGUUGUCUGCUCCAGAGGCUUCCCUAGAGUGAAGAGCUCUACUAUGUAUGCUUUAUGCGGCAGAAGGAGUGCUUUGGAGGAGUUUUUAAAUUUGUUUUUUUUUUAAAUCUUAUCGGUUUUAAUUGUAGCAAUGAUUCAAGAAACGUUAGUAGGUGCCCAUAACUUCGGUGGUGGAGAUCCAAAAGUGAACAAGACAGUGUUCUGGCUGCUAAAUUCUUCUUAACUGGUUAUGCCUGGAGACCUUCACUUGGUUCUGUGCCAGCACUGCCCAUGAACUUCAUAGACUGUGAUCUUUGCUAAGGCCUAAAUGAAUGAAGUGCAGGUGCAGGACCGGAAGCAGAAGACAGAAAGUGGAGACCAGAUGUUUGAAGCUGGGUAAAGGCAGGGAUGGAGCAGGAACCGAGGAACAAACCUUGGAACUAGGGCGAUUUCUGCUUUUAUGAACCAG